rnacentral:piRNA from 1 species
UACAAAACUUGUUGAAAAUAG